UACAGAGGGGCAAGCGUUGUUCGGAAUUACUGGGCGUAAAGGGCGCGUAGGCGGCCUUCUAAGUCGAACGUGAAAUCCCUGGGCUCAACCCAGGAACUGCGUCCGAUACUGGUUGGCUUGAGUUUGGGAGAGGGAUGCGGAAUUCCAGGUGUAGCGGUGAAAUGCGUAGAUAUCUGGAGGAACACCGGUGGCGAAGGCGGCGUUCUGGACUGCAACUGACACUGAGAAACGAAAGCCAGGGUAGCAAACGGG
rnacentral:rRNA from 1 species